UUUUUUUUUUUUUUGUAAGUAAAAGAAGCAGAACCCACAGUCUGCCUUUAAGAGGUCAACAAUGCAAUGGUCUCCAUUUCUUAUUUCCCAAGUGAGCAGAACACGAAAAUCUGCCUUUGAGGACCAAAACGCAAAUCAGCCACAUCCUUUGGAGCCAUUCACAAAUAUUUAUGAAUGGACUGUUGUGUGAUAGCUGCUCUAGGGAAGAUGAUAAGCCAUGGAUCCCUUCACCCUCAGGAAACUCGCAGCUCAAAAGGGAGAGCUGUUUAUGUGACAUAUCCUUCGGGGUCUGCCCUAGUCAUCGAUUGCUGCUUAACAAUUCACUCCCAUUUUAGCAGCUUGAAACAGCAAUCACUUUAGCAUCUUUCACAGUAUCUAUGAGACAGAAAUUCAGGAAGGGCUUAGCUGUGCAAUUCUGGCACAGGGCUCUCUUGCAGUCAUACCCAGAUAGGGGCUGCUGAAGCAGCUUUGGGCUGGCCAGGCAUCUUGCCUCACAUUCUCUUGGUGGGUGGGCCGGCUUGGGCUUCCUCACAGCAUGGCAGCCUGAGGCUAAACUGUUUACAUGACGACUCAGGGCUCCAAAGGUAAGUGUCCCAGGAGACUGGGGCAGAAGCUGUAUCAUCUUUUAUGAUCAGUUCAGAAGUUACAGUGUCACUUCCUCUCAAAGGAGAUUUCUCAAAGUCACAUUAUAAGAUAAGAAGAGCAGGUGAGACAGGAAAUGUCAUUUUAACCAUCUUUGGAAAAUAUAAUCAGCAAGAUGGAGUUCCCGUCGUGGCUCAGUGGUUAACGAAUCCGACUAGGAACCACGAGGUUGCAGCAUCAAUCCCUGGCCUUGCUCAGUGGGUUAAGGAUCCGGUGUUGCCGUGAGCUGUGGUGUAGGUUGCAAACGUGGCUCCGAUCCCGUGUUGCUGUGGCUGUGGCAUAGGCCAGUGGCUAUAGCUCCAAUUGGACCCCUAGCUUAGGAACCUCCAUAUGCUGUGGGAGCGGCCCAAGAAAUGGCAAAAAAGACAAAAAAAAAAAAAAAAAAGAAGAAGCUUAACCAAGGUACUAGUUAUGAAGAUAUAGGCAGGGCAUAGGGAAACAGAGACUAAUGUGUGACAAAGAAACUACUACACCCCUAUAAGGAAGGAACAAGAAGAAUAAGAGGUUACAGGACCUCAGGAGAGAAGAGUUCAGGAAGUGUUCCCUUGAGAGCACAAAUCCCACCCUCCCAGCCAGGGCUUUCCAUUGGCUGAACCCAACAGGACGUCCAAAGGCCCAGAGCCUACACUGAGCUGCCUCUGGGGAAGAGAGCAGAGUGAGGAAGAGCAGAGAGUACAUCUGGAGAGGCAAGCAGAAGAUACCCAGGUAAGGAAGAUUCAUAAACGCAAGAGAGAUUAUCAUGUGAUGUCAAUAUGUUACAGCAGUAUAUCUCUUUCUGCAAGAGAGAACUCCGAGCUGCUUCCAUGUAAUGCCACAGAAGUAUCGAUACGGUGAAGGGAAGUUCACCAGCCAUCCUCUGGAGGUCCAGGAUGCCACCCUUUAUCCUGGGGCUUCAGAGAGUCCCAGGCAGUGGGAAAGAGAGUGGUCCACAGGUGCAAGCCAGACAGGGACUAUACACAGCCCCUGGGCACGGACAGGAAUGGCUCCUGAUGGAUGGUCCACAGGAAGUGGUGGUCCAACCGGAAGGACAGCUGAUGAGGCUCCUCAGCACCACGAUGCCCUACUAUGCAACCGGCUGGGAUGGAGACAGUGGUCUGCACCUGUGCCCACCAGAGCAGGGCCUGCCUGACCCCUGGAGACUGGGUCCUCUUCUGUUUGAGUGCUCUCUCCAAGCCUGGUCUCAUCCCAAACCCCAUAAACCUCUCUCCCUCAUCAACUUCCCUCUAACUUUCCCUCCCCUCAAUCUGGGGAAUCUUCAUCUAAUCUGGGGGUAAGGAAGCCUGGCGCUUAACCUAAUCUUCCAACUCUAGUACAUAUCCUAUAAAAGGCAAACUCAAAAGUCCAGGUUUGUGGAGUCCCACUGUGGCACAGUGGGUUAAGAAUGCAACUGCAGCGGCUCAGGUCGCUGCAGAGACACAGGUUCAAUCCCUGGCCUGGCGCAGUGGAUUAGGAUGCAGCAUUUCCAUAGCUGUGGCGAAGGUAGUAGCUGUGGCUCAGAUUCCAUCCCUGGCCUGGGAACUUCUAUAUGCUGUGGGUGCGGCCAUAAAAAACAAAACAAAAUAAAUAAGUUUGGGUUCUUACAACUCCACAUCCUCAACUUUUGAAAUUCAAAUACAAAAUCUGACCUACUUUCUCUCGGCAUUCCUUGAGCCACACAGUGUGGGAGUUCCGGGGGCGGGGUGGGUCACAAGGUAUGUGACGGAGUAUCACAGAGCAGAAGUAUUAGUACCAUUGAAACUAAGAGGUCUAGGAACCCAACAGAUCAUGCAUCAGGGGGAUCAGGAAAUAUUUCAUUUGAUCCUCGGAAGAAUAGAUAUCAUUUCAGCAGGAAGAGUUGGAAGAGCAUUCUAAGUAGACAGAGGAGAAUGAGCAUGAGAAUUAAAACAGUUGAGAAAGGACGGUUGAAUACGUAAGAAACAUAGGGAUAUGUGCAUGUAGAGGAAAUAAUUCUAGAAGAGCAAGGUGAGGCCAGGUCCUAAAGGACCUGGAAAGAAAUCUUUGCGUCUGCGUUAAAAAAAGCCACCGCAGCUUGUGUACAUCAGUGGGGUAACUGGGUCCAAGAUGUGCUUUAAAAAGAUUAAGACAGUGACAGUGCCUGGGGUGCAGAUCCAGCAGUUAGGGCAUUAGACAUUCCUUUAGGCAUAGACUCACUGGCGCCUCACGCCCCUGGCUUCCAUCACCAUCUGGUUUGCAAGGUGGCAUGUUUCGAGGUAGGUUUUCCUGAUCUCAGACCUGCGUUCAGAACUCCCCUUAGGGCUUGUCCACCUGCAUGUCCCGCAAGCUCCUUAAACGCACCAGAGCUGAACCUGUCAUUCCCUCUGUGCCUCCUUCCCCCCCAUCACCACAUCCCUUCCCUUCUCUCUGCCCCACACCCUCCCCUAGAAACACUGUAGCCCCCAGACCAGAAUUCUCAUUUCCCCUCCCUCACUUCCAACUCCUAACCUCCACUCUCAAUACUUAGCAUAGCCAGAGCCUUCCAAUCCUCCCGUCUGUGUUUUCCCCUGUUGAACCCGGCUCCUUCUUAUCCUUAUUGGAACUGCCCAAGAUCAAGCCAUCAGCACCUCUCCUUCUGACAAUCACAACAGGUUGAUGAUUGGCCUCUCUGCGGCUCAACUCCGUCUGUUACUCCUCUCCCGCACGGUCUGUCCUAAACACUAAAUCUGAUCAUGGUGUUUCCCCUUUAAAGACGUCCUCUGGCCACCCCUAGGCCUGUGGGAUGGAGAAAACACUCAUUUAGCAUGUAAAGCCUUCAUACCCUGACCCUGGUUACUCUUCUAGCUCUGUUCCCGGCCAUUCCCCGGUGACAGGUAGGAAUUGACGCUUGGCUCUCUGCGUUUGUCUGUGACACCCUUCCUGGAAGCAGCAAGUGAUGGGAUUAGAUCCCAGCUGUUUGGACCAGAGAGGAAGGGCCUGGGGCAGAAGGAAAUCGCAGCUGUGUAUGCGUCUGCUGGAGAGGGAGGGGGAGGGGAAUGAGAAUAUAGUAAUCAAUGCUUCAAAAAUACUAUCUGCCACGUAGUCCAGGAAAGAGGCAUAGACUACCUAAGAAAUGUUUGCAUUACCUUAUGUUUAAAGACUGGGAGGGAAAAAGGGCUUUGAAAGAAAAGCAGAUUUGGAUAAGAUCCUAGUCUCCGAAGGGCUACUCUGGUGAGACCUCAGAUAGGUAUUUUUUACAGGUUCCCCUCAUGCAACAAAGCAGAUUAGUUUCUUCCUCUUGCAAGACGCAAAGCUUCAGAGAGAAUUGGAGGCCAGUUGAACCCUCAUAAGCACUCUUCAGAGAAAAAAAAAGGGGAGGGGUGGGGAAGAAGGAAUCGGAGGCCUGCAGAAAUGGUGAAUCAUAGCUAAUUAAAUUGCUUUGUCUUCCUUGAUGCUCUGGCUUUAUUAAAUAAACACAAGCAAUCUUAAUAAAAUAAGUUUUGGAUGACUUUAGGGUGUCCUGUUACCAGCACUGGAGCCAGGAGACCUGGGUUCCAAUUUCAGACACAUCCCUAACUAGCUGUGUGAUCUUGGGCAGCCCUGGCCCUUCUCUGAGCCCCGGCUUCCCUGUUUAUAUAACCAGAGAACUGAACUACUUGGCACGAGUCCCUAUAUACUCAAGCCUAUAUUGCUUCAGUUUUAAACCAGUAAAAUAGUUCCCCUCUUUCUAUUUAUCUGCCCCUGGAUUUGACUUUUUGAAUUACUCCCAUCCUCAGCUUCUCUUUAUCUAUUUUUUCUUCUCAUUCUAUCUGCCCAGCCAAGCAAGGCAUAGUCCUUGUCCGGCUGUUUUCCAGGCUCUUGACUUGGGUUUACAGAGUACGUUCUGCCCACUGAAUCUGUUCAGGAUUGGAACUUCCUUGGCGAAGACCCCAGAGCCAACAGAUCUUGGACCCGUGCCACUUAGGAUCCUUCCCAGGCCUGAAGGAGAUGAGGCAGAAGGACCUUGAUGCAUGAGAUACUGUGCUAAUGUAUCUCAAUAACCCAACUGUAGCAUCCUCCUGCAAUGUUUCCCAUUUGAAUGAUCCUAUUUACUAAAUUAAUUUUUCCCAAGGGAAAAUAAAUCCAAGAGUAAUGUAAGCUGCC
rnacentral:lncRNA from 1 species